GUUCCACUACGGCGUUGGUGACUACCAACAAUGUUUUACGAUCUAUGUUUUGUCUUAACGGGAACUGAGCUGCGUCGGUGGCAGUAGACCGGGCUUGUACUCGGAAACUUAAAGCCUGACGCCACGGUACCCACCUGGUUUCUCCAGGUCGAAGACUGAGGUAAGACGGCGCUGCGGUGGAACU
rnacentral:other from 1 species